AUGGUUGAUAAAUUCAAAGUCAAACUCCCUACUUAUAAGCCCACCAAACUCUCUCAUGCUGGUAGGCUCACUCUUAUAAAUUCUGUGUUUGCUUCCAUCCCUAUAUAUUACAUGUCCAAUAUUCUUUUUCCCAAGAAGUUCCUAGCCAAACUCAAUUCAAUUAUUAGAAACUUCUGGUGGGCAGGAGUUAGAGAGGAAACUAAUGAGAGAUCUCUUUGCCUCAGGGCCUGGAAAGACAUUUGCUCCCCUAAGAAUGAAGGAGGUUUAGGCAUAAAAAACUUGCAAGCCACCAACAAAAGCCUAAUCCUUGCAGCUGCCUGGAGGAUAGCAGAAAACCCUAAUAGCCAUAUCUCAAAAGUUUUGCAGUCUAAAUAUUUCCCGGAUUCUUCCCUUUGGAGAGCUAACCCAAACAUCCCCAAAUCUGCCUUUUGGACUUCAAUCAUCAAAGUUAGGCCAAUGCUCAUCAACAAUUCUUUUUACCACAUUACAAAAGGCAAUAUUUCUCUUUGGAGCUCUCCUUGGUUCAACUCAUGGGAAAAUAUUUAUGAUCAUCUUGUUAUCCAAAAUAAUGAUUUUAAAUACCCGGCACUAGUUAAAGAUCUCUGGCUUCCUAAUCACAAAAUGUGGAAUCACAAUUUUAUUGAUAUGCUAUUUGACCAAGACACGGCUGUAAUUAUAAAGCAGGUUCCAAUUAUUCAAGCUGAAGAUGAUGAUAUUUUGUGCUGGAAACUAACUCCAACAGGGAAAUUCAACACAAAAAGUGCAUACAAACUUUGUCUACAGGUGAUGAGGGAAGAGGGGAGCCACAACCUAGAGCUCUAG
rnacentral:rRNA from 1 species